GCAGCUGAGCAAUCCGAAUAUAGUACUUUAAUAAGAAGGUUUGUAGAUUGGAGAACUUUGAGAGAUUUGGCAUUGGGUUGGGCAUCAGAAUGGGUACAGAGCAUGAUAUACAACUUUGGUGGCAUGGGAUACCACGAUAGUGAGCCACCCGUUGAAGAAGACGACAAUGGAGGAAACCACGAUAACGGAGACAAAGGUGAAGGAGAAAAUGGUAAUAAACCUAGGAAAAGAGGACAUUGAAACAUGGAAUCUCCAUGAAAACUAGAAACAUGCAUCUAUGAAUUAUUUUGUUUCCCACUUACUAUAUUAAAUAAAGUAUGAUCUAUUGUCAAUGGCGGAACUUGACUGAAAAAUUUGGAGUGGCUGACAUAAUUCACUCUCACAAAUUUUCCUCAUGA
rnacentral:lncRNA from 1 species